GCCCUCCUCCCUCCGGCGGCCCCUCCCCAGCCCUGGCUUCUCCAGUGCCCCUAGGCAAGUGGACUGCAACUUAGAUGUGACUCUUUCCUUCACAGAAGUCCCUUUCUUUCCUUGUGGCCUCCUAACUUGGGGACUGUGGCCUCUUGCUUCUCUCCCCCUUGAGGCUAAAACCUGUCUUCUGCCUCUUCUGUGCAGAUCCAAUGGGAACAUAAAGAGGCCUGUGGCCACGGGGACAUGUGAGAGAGCGUGUCUGUCUGCAAAGAACAAUAGCUGCUCUUCUUCUGGUCCGCUCUUCUAUUCUGGAGCCUUAGAAGACACGAGUGACAGAGGAACAGAAAAGACACUCCUGUGGUCAGGCAUGAAAUUUAGCCACCAUAAUUCCUGGACCCCAAGGGACUCUGCAUUUGAGAUCUCUGGCUGAGAUCAUCAAGUGAUAAGAAUUCCAAUUUUUGUUUUCCUAAGUCUUUCUUUCAUCUGCCAAUCUACCCAACAUGAACUAGGGGCCACGUAGAGGGCCAGGCACAUUAAGGGGCUCACAGACUAGAGGUACACAUCUGUGAUUACAAUGUGCAUGGUAAAACUGGAUCAGCAGUUUCCAAGGACUGGAAUGUAAUAAAAUAUCCUCAAAACAAUAA